GCCAAAGACAAAUUAGAAGAGGGUCUGACUUCAUUCCAGUCCCAAUCUUGAACCACCAGAUCUGCCUGCAUCAGGGAUGCAGAAUACAGCAGCAGCAGAGACAGGAAAUACAACACGAUGGGCCUUUGUGACAAAACCACCAUGGCCCAGACUAGUUACAUGGGGAGAGACAAUACCUGAGGUCAUUCUGCAAGGAAAUGCCUCAACGGG